rnacentral:tRNA from 1 species
GCGGGGUGGAGCAGCCUGGUAGCUCGUCGGGCUCAUAACCCGAAGGUCGUCGGUUCGAAUCCGGCCCCCGCAACCA